ACGCUCGACACCUACGGGGGGCAGCAGUGGGGAAUAUUGCACAAUGGGGGAAACCCUGAUGCAGCAACGCCGCGUGAAGGAAGACGGUUUUCGGAUUGUAAACUUCUGUUCUUAGUGAAGAUAGUGACGGUAGCUAAGGAGCAAGCCACGGCUAACUACGUGCCAGCAGCCGAGGUAAUCUGAGCGGGCUGGCAAGGC
rnacentral:rRNA from 1 species